AGUGAACGCUGGCGGUAGGCCUAACACAUGCAAGUCGAACGGCAGCACAGUAAGAGCUUGCUCUUACGGGUGGCGAGUGGCGGACGGGUGAGGAAUACAUCGGAAUCUACUUUUUCGUGGGGGAUAACGUAGGGAAACUUACGCUAAUACCGCAUACGACCUACGGGUGAAAGCAGGGGAUCUUCGGACCUUGCGCGAUUGAAUGAGCCGAUGUCGGAUUAGCUAGUUGGCGGGGUAAAGGCCAACCAAGGCGACGAUCCGUAGCUGGUCUGAGAGGAUGAUCAGCCACACUGGAACUUAGACACGGUCCAGACUCCUACGGGAGGCAGCAGUCUGGAAUAUUGGACAAUGGUCGCAAGCCUUAUCCAGCCAUACCGCGUGGGUGAAGAAGGCCUUCGGGUUGUAAAGCCCUUUUGUUGGGAAAGAAAAGCAGCAGGUUAAUACCCCGCUGUUCUGACGGUACCCAAAGAAUAAGCACCGGCUAACUUCGUG
rnacentral:rRNA from 1 species